rnacentral:misc_RNA from 1 species
AAGCAGAAUACAAUAUACUAUAAAAAAUUGAAAUCCAAGAUGGCGGCCGCUACAAAAUGGCGGAUAACGUAGGUUUUAUCAAUCCCAUCAAUAUGGGUAUCAAAUGAAAGGGCUCAACAAGCAGAAUACAAUAUACUAUAAAAAAUUGAAAUCCAAGAUGGCGGCCGCUACAAAAUGGCGGAUAACGUAGAUUUUAUCAAUCCCAUCAAUAUGGGUAUCAAAUGAAAGGGCUCAACAAGCAGAAUACAAUAUACUAUAAAAAAUUGAAAUACAAGAUGGCGGCCGCUACAAAAUGGCGGCUAACGUAGGUUUUAUCAAUCCCAUCAAUAUGGGUAUCAAAUGAAAGGUCUCAACAAGUAGAAUACAAUUUACUAUGCAAAAU